rnacentral:rRNA from 1 species
UACGAAGGGGGCUAGCGUUGCUCGGAAUCACUGGGCGUAAAGCGCACGUAGGCGGCUUUUUAAGUCGGUGGUGAAAUCCUGGAGCUCAACUCCAGAACUGCCUCCGAUACUGAAAGGCUCGAGUCCGGGAGAGGUGAGUGGAACUGCGAGUGUAGAGGUGAAAUUCGUAGAUAUUCGCAAGAACACCAGUGGCGAAGGCGGUUCUCUGGGACGGUACUGACGCUGAGACGCGAAAGCGUGGGGAGCGAACAGG